UUAACUCAAAUUUGUAUGGAGUUGAAACGUUUGCCUACUUUUGCCGCUAGGGGCGCUGUUCCGACUGCAUACAAAUUUGAGUUA
rnacentral:pre_miRNA from 1 species